CUGAUUUCCUCUGGUGGUUUAGG
rnacentral:miRNA from 1 species